UACGUAGGUGGCAAGCGUUGUCCGGAAUUAUUGGGCGUAAAGCGCACGUAGGCGGCUUAGCAAGUCGGAAGUGAAAUCCCACGGCUCAACCGUGGAAGUGCUUUCGAAACUGCUGAGCUUGAGUACAAAAGAGGAUCGCGGAAUUCCCGGUGUAGAGGUGAAAUUCGUAGAUAUCGGGAGGAACACCAGUGGCGAAGGCGGCGAUCUGGGUUGAUACUGACGCUGAGGUGCGAAAGCGUGGGGAGCAAACAGG
rnacentral:rRNA from 1 species